rnacentral:rRNA from 1 species
CCUACGGGAGGCUGCAGUGGGGAAUAUUGCACAAUGGGGGAAACCCUGAUGCAGCAACGCCGCGUGAGUGAAGAAGUAUCUCGGGAUGUAAAGCUCUAUCAGCAGGGAAGAAGAUGAAGGUACCUGAUUAAGAAGCCCCGGCUAACUACGUGCCAGCAGCCGCGGUAAUACGGAGGGGGCCAGCGUUAUCCGGAUUUACUGGGUGUAAAGGGAGCGUAGACGGCAGUGCAAGUCUGGAGUGAAAGCACGGGGCCCAACCCCGGAACUGCUGUGGAAACUGUGCGGCUAGAGUACUGGAGGGGCAGGCGGAAUUCCUGGUGUAGCGGUGAAAUGCGUAGAUAUUAGGAAGAACACCGGUGGCGAAGGCAGCCUACUGGACAGUAACUGACGUUGAGGCUCGAAAGCGUGGGGAGCAAACAGGAUUAGAUACCCUUGUAGUC